GGGGGCGCUACCUGCAGUCGAACGGUAACAGGAAGCAAGCUUGCUGUUUCGCUGACGAGUGGCGGACGGGUGAGUAAUGUCUGGGAAACUGCCUGAUGGAGGGGGAUAACUACUGGAAACGGUAGCUAAUACCGCAUAACGUCGCAAGACCAAAGAGGGGGACCUUCGGGCCUCUUGCCAUCGGAUGUGCCCAGAUGGGAUUAGCUAGUAGGUGGGGUAACGGCUCACCUAGGCGACGAUCCCUAGCUGGUCUGAGAGGAUGACCAGCCACACUGGAACUGAGACACGGUCCAGACUCCUACGGGAGGCAGCAGUGGGGAAUAUUGCACAAUGGGCGCAAGCCUGAUGCAGCCAUGCCGCGUGUAUGAAGAAGGCCUUCGGGUUGUAAAGUACUUUCAGCGGGGAGGAAGGGAGUAAAGUUAAUACCUUUGCUCAUUGACGUUACCCGCAGAAGAAGCACCGGCUAACUCCGUGCCAGCAGCCGCGGUAAUACGGAGGGUGCAAGCGUUAAUCGGAAUUACUGGGCGUAAAGCGCACGCAGGCGGUUUGUUAAGUCAGAUGUGAAAUCCCCGGGCUCAACCUGGGAACUGCAUCUGAUAC
rnacentral:rRNA from 1 species